rnacentral:rRNA from 1 species
GAUGAACGCUGGCGGCGUGCCUAAUACAUGCAAGUCGAGCGAACAGACGAGGAGCUUGCUCCUCUGACGUUAGCGGCGGACGGGUGAGUAACACGUGGAUAACCUACCUAUAAGACUGGGAUAACUUCGGGAAACCGGAGCUAAUACCGGAUAAUAUAUUGAACCGCAUGGUUCAAUAGUGAAAGACGGUUUUGCUGUCACUUAUAGAUGGAUCCGCGCCGCAUUAGCUAUUUGGUAAGGUAACGGCUUACCAAGGCAACGAUGCGUAGCCGACCCGAGAGGGUGAUCGGCCCAACUGGAACUGGGACGCGGUCCAGACUCCUACGGGAGGCAGCAGUAGGGAAACUUCCGCAAUGGGCGAAAGCCUGACGGAGCAACGCCGCGUGAGUGAUGAAGGUCUUCGGAUCGUAAAACUCUGUUAUUAGGGAAGAACAAAUGUGUAAGUAACUAUGCACGUCUUGACGGUACCUAAUCAGAAAGCCACGGCUAACUACGUG